UUGUAUGGCAGGUCGGCGGGCCAGCUUCGGCUGGGCCGCGUCUAUGUAGGCGGUAGUUCCAACCCGUUCGACCUGCCCCCAGA
rnacentral:antisense_RNA from 1 species